rnacentral:rRNA from 1 species
AACGAACGCUGGCGGCAUGCCUAGCACAUGCAAGUCGAACGAGACCUUCGGGUCUAGUGGCGCACGGGUGCGUAACGCGUGGGAACCUGCCCUUAGGUUCGGAAUAACUCCCCGAAAGGGGUGCUAAUACCGGAUAAUGUCUUCGGACCAAAGAUUUAUCGCCUUUGGAUGGGCCCGCGUUGGAUUAGCUAGUUGGUAGGGUAAAAGCCUACCAAGGCGACGAUCCAUAGCUGGUCUGAGAGGAUGAUCAGCCACACUGGGACUGAGACACGGCCCAGACUCCUACGGGAGGAAGCAGUGGGGAAUAUUGGACAAUGGGCGAAAGCCUGAUCCAGCAAUGCCGCGUGAGUGAUGAAGGCCUUAGGGUUGUAAAGCUCUUUUACCCGGGAUGAUAAUGACAGUACCGGGAGAAUAAGCUCCGGCUAACUCCGUG